UGCUGCACCACAAACUUCACCCACAGCAACCAUGACUUUGGUCUCCAUCUUCAUCUGGACACUCACCCUCUGGACUCAAGGAUCCAGUGGUCAGGUCACUGUAACUCAGACUCCUGCAGUGAAAGCUAUUUCUCCAGGAGUUUCAGUCACCAUCAGCUGUAGAACCAACCCUGCAGUUCAUCGUGAUAGUGAUGGGGAUGAUUACAUGUUCUGGUAUCAGCAGAAACCUGGAGAAGCUCCUAAACUCCUGAUUAGAUAUGCUAAAAAGUUACAGUCAGGUAUUCCAGCUCGUUUCAGUGGCAGUGGAUCUGGAUCUGACUUCACUCUGACCAUCAGUAAUGUCCAGACUGAAGAUGCAGGAGAUUAUUACUGUCAGAGUACACAUAGUAUCAGUGGUAGCUACGUGUUCCCACAGUGUUUAGUAGGUGUACAAAAAGCUCCCUCAGUCAGCUGCACAGAGACUGCACUGCUGCAGCUGGACUCUACUGCAGGUGCUGAGGGGGAGGAUGGACACACACAAUAACACACUCUGUGGAAAUCAGGACUUUAGAUGGAAUUUGUUCUUCUUUUCAUUAGACUGUAAAUGCUUUGUGAUUUUAGGGAUUUAUUUCCUGAUCUCCACAGGUCUGGAACUAGCUGUAGAGUUCAGCUAGAGUCUCAUUUAUUAUAAAGUUUAUUAUAAGGAUCUGGACAGAUUAUGAAAUGGAUGUUUCUCUCAGUCCUGAGAAAGAGGGAGUCCCUGAAGAAAUCCUUCAACAAACUCAGACUCAGCAGUUUUUAUUGGGAGAUCAUAUUCAGAGUGCAGAACUUCCCAAGAGUCUAACUGGAUCUGAUGAAAACAGUGGUCAGUAGCAGUUGGUGUGCUGUUAGACAGAGUGAUCCACCAUGGAGUCUGACAGGCAGACUGACCAGCAGGGGGAGCCACAGCCCACCUCAGCCCCUCCCAGCAGCCUCCUGGAGCUCCACCCUCCCACACUGAUCAAUAAAACUCCCACUACUGAUCCUGGAGUGUGGAACUGGGAGGCGUGCAGGAACGCUGCUGUGGGUUUUCUCACUGGCCAUGUUCCUGCUGCACCAUUACUCUCUGUACACUGUGAUAAAGAGCACAGGAGAAUCAGCUGGAGCUUCAUUCACCACUGCACUGAUUACACUGUUUAUACUCCCAUUAUUUCCCUCAGAACAAACACACUAC